rnacentral:rRNA from 1 species
GAGGAAAGAACUAAAUCAAGCACAAAAAAGCAAAGAUAAACUCUUAUACCUUCUGCAUAAUGUAUUAACUAGAAAUACUUUUACUUAGAGAACCAAAGCCAAGUCCCCCGAAACCAGACGAGCUACCCAAGAACAGCUGAAAGAGUACACCCACCUAUGUGGCAAAACGUGGGGAAGAUUCAUGAGUAGCGGUGGUAAGCCUACCAAGCCUGGUGAUAGCUGAUUAUCCAAGAUAGAAUCUUAGUUCAACUUUAAACUUACUCAGAGAAUUACUUAAUCUCCCUGUAAGUUUAACUGUUAGUCUAAAGAGGGGCUGCUCUUUAGACUCUAGGAAACAACCUUCCUACACGCAAGUAAAAAAUAUUACCACCAUAGUUGGCCCAAAAGCAGCCACCAAUUAAGAAAGCGUUCAAGCUCAACAUCUGACCACCCUAAAUCCUACUCACAAUACUGAACUCCUUAUAUCACAUUGGACUAAUCUAUUACUCAACAGAAGCAAUAAUGUUAAUAUAAGUAACAUGAAGUGAUUCUCCUCUGCAUAAGCUUAUAUCAGACUGGAAUAAUCCACUAACAGACUAAUAUUAAUAAAUGAUUUAAUAAAUACCUUAUUAUUUAUCCUCUUAAUCCAACACAGGUAUGGUCCAAGGAAAGAUUACAAAGAGUAAAAGGAACUCAGCAAAUCUUCCAUCGCCUGUUUACCAAAAAUAUAAUCUAUAGCAUUACCAGUAUUAGAGGCACUGCCUGCCCAGUGACAUAUGUUCAAUGGCCACAGUAUCCUGACCGUGUAAAGAUAGCAUAAUCACUUGUUCUUUAAUUAGGGACUUGUAUGAAUGGCCACAUGAGGGUUCAUCUCUCUCUUACUUUUUAUCAGUGAAAUUCACCUAUCCAUGAAGAGGCAGAUAUACACAAAUAAGACGAGAAGACCCUAUGGAGCUUAAAUUUAUUAAUGCAAACAAAAACUCAAAAUAAGCCUAGAGGCGAUAAUCUACUAUCCCUAAAUUAAAAAUUUUGGUUGGAGUGACCUCAGAGCAUAAUUCGACCUCCGAACAACAUAAACUAACACCACACCAGCCUAUGCGAACUAACAUAUAUUGAUGCAAUAACUUAAUCAAUGGAAUAAGUUACCUUAGGGAUAACAGCGCAAUCCUAUUCUAGAGUCCAUAUCAACAACAGGGUUUACAACUUCGAUGUUGGAUCAGGACAUCCUAAUGGUGUAGCUGCUAUUAAGCGUUCAUUUGAUUAAAGUCCUACAUGAUCUGAGUUCAGACUGGAGUGAUCCAGGUCGGUUUCUAUCUACUGAACAUUUCUCCU